UCGGAUAUGGUGUAACGGCUAACAUUGCCGCCUUUCAAUGCUCGCGGCAGCUCGGGGUUUGAUUCCCCGUAUCCGAA